rnacentral:rRNA from 1 species
AUUGAACGCUGGCGGCAGGCUUAACACAUGCAAGUCGAGCGGAGAUGAGGUGCUUGCACCUUAUCUUAGCGGCGGACGGGUGAGUAAUGCUUAGGAAUCUGCCUAUUAGUGGGGGACAACAUUCCGAAAGGAAUGCUAAUACCGCAUACGCCCUACGGGGGAAAGCAGGGGAUCUUCGGACCUUGCGCUAAUAGAUGAGCCUAAGUCGGAUUAGCUAGUUGGUGGGGUAAGGCCUACCAAGGCGACGAUCUGUAGCGGGUCUGAGAGGAUGAUCCGCCACACUGGGACUGAGACACGGCCCAGACUCCUACGGGAGGCAGCAGUGGGGAAUAUUGGACAAUGGGCGGAAGCCUGAUCCAGCCAUGCCGCGUGUGUGAAGAAGGCCUUUUAGUUGUAAAGCACUUUAAGCGAGGAGGAGGCUACCUGGAUUAAUACUCUAGGAUAGUGGACGUUACUCGCAGAAUAAGCACCGGCUAACUCUGUGCCAGCCGCCGCCGUAAGAC